rnacentral:lncRNA from 1 species
GAGGAGUGGGAAUCAGAGUCCGAGUCAGAGUCGUCAAUGUGCUAAUCACCUUUGACUGAGAUGCGCUUUCCGCGGGACAUUGAUUCAUGAUUUGAUUGAUUCAUGCUCGCGACAGGCACGAUCCCAAGCGAAAGGUGAGAAAGGGGCACGUUUUCAUUUCACCAGGCCUCAACAGAGUGGAGGGAGCACUUCUCACUUUGGACUAUGUACGUCAUCGGUGGAUAUAGGUGGACCAAUUAUCACUUGGUUCGUCACACGCCUGAUCAGAUGCCUGUUGGUGUUUUCCUCGAUUAAUGCUUAAUUUGAUUUGAUUCGGCCAAAA